AGAGGGACCGCCUCCGUGGGGAGCACGCCGGAAGUGGACGCCCGGUCCCGGGUGCUUUGUCCAAAAUAUUGGCUCCGCGCCAGAGUGAGGAGCAGGGGUUGUGCGAUGGCGGCAGUGGAGGGGACCCCAGUCGAACGGGAGGCCGGGGGUGGCCUAGAGGAAUUCAAGAUGCUGCAGGAUGUGGAUGUGAAUGAAUCACAAAAAGAUGCUGAGCACUGGAUCUGCACUCAAUGGAAUCUCUGUAAGGAAGAGAUGCUAGAGGAGAAGACAGAGCUGAUCUCACAGGAUUCUGAGACCAGGAAUAAGAUGAAGUACUGGAAGUCAAAGAUGGAAAUUUCUGGAGAUAAAGAUUCAGCAAGGGCUAUAUCAGGAAGAUGCCAAAGACAGAUCUCCCAGAAAUGUGGGUUAAUUGAAACCAGUGAUCCUGAGGACAGGUUAUUGAGGCAUUGGGUAAGUCCCUUAGAGAAUGCAAUAAGACAACCUUCUUCCCAAGAGAGAGGUAUCAGGGAAUUGAAUCUCAUCCCUAAGAAAACCAUUGCAGGAGAGAGAGACCAUGGAUAUAAUGGUGGAGAAAAAAUACUUUCUGCUGGAAAAAGAUCUCACCAUUAUGAGGUCUGUGGCCAGAACUUCAGACAGAAAUCAGAAAUAACUGAACAUCAGAAAAUUAAUAAUAUCAAGAAAACUUAUGAAUGUAAAGAAUGUGGAAAAAUUUUCAGUCGUAGCUCAAACCUGAUUAUACAUCAAAGACUUCAUACAGGAAAGAAACCAUAUGUAUGUAAUGAAUGUGGGAAAGACUUUAAUCAAAGUUCAAAUCUUAUUACACAUCAGAGAAUUCAUACGGGAAAGAAACCUUAUAUAUGUCAUGAAUGUGGGAAAGACUUCAAUCAGAGCUCUAAUCUGGUUAGACAUAAGAGAAUUCAUAGCAGCGAGAAUCCCUAUGAAUGUAAAGAGUGUGGGAAGACCUUCAAGGGAAGCUCGAACCUUGUCCUACACCAGAGAAUCCAUAGUGGAGGGAAGCCAUAUAUAUGUAAUGAAUGUGGGAAGACCUUCAAUCAAAGUUCAGAUCUUAUAACACAUCACAGAAUUCACACGGGAGAGAAACCCUAUGAAUGUUACGACUGUGGGCAAACCUUCAGUCAAAGUUCACACCUUAUCACACAUCAGCGAAUUCAUACUGGAGAGAAACCCUUCAAGUGUAAUGAAUGUGAAAAAGCCUUUCGGCAGCGUUCAUAUCUUACCAAACACAAGAGACUCCAUGGUGAAUGUGGGAAAUCCUUCAAUGAGCACACAUCUUUUCUUGAACAUCAGAGGCUGCAUACUGAAAAGAAACUUGAAUGUGAAAAAGCCUGCACUUCUGACUUGGACUUUAUUAAACAACAGAGAAUUCAUAGAGAAGAAAAACCUUAUGAAUGUACUGAAUGUGGAAAAACUUUCCGGAGAAGUUCAGAUCUAAUUCGGCAUUGGAUAAUUCAUACUGGAGAGAAACCUUAUGAAUGUAGUCAAUGUGGGAAAGCCUUUAGCCAGAAGUCACACCUUGUUACACAUCAGAAAAUUCAUACUGGAGAGAAACCCUAUCAGUGCAAUGAAUGUGGGAAAGCCUUCCGGCAGCGUUCACUUCUCACUCAACAUCAGAGAAUCCAUAGUGGUGAGAAACCCUAUGAAUGUAAAGAAUGUGGAAAAUCCUUCAUCUGGCGCACAACUUUUCUCAAACAUCAGAGACUUCAUGCUGGAGAGAAACUUGAAGAAUGUGAGAAAACAUUCAGCAAGAAUGAGUUGUUUAGAAAAGAGCAGAGAAUUCAUCAAGAAGAGAAAACUUAUCAGUGUGGUAGAACAUUCCGAGGCAUCUCAGACCUCAUCAGACAUCAGGUAACUCAUAUGGGAGAGAAACCGUAUGAAUGUAAAGAAUGUGGGAAAACUUUCAAUCAGAGCUCAGACCUUAUGAAACAUCAUAGAAUUCAUAGUGGAGAAAAACCUUAUGUGUGCAAUAAAUGUGAGAAAUCUUUUAGGGGCAGCUCAGAUCUUAUUAAACACCGUCGUGUUCAUACUGGAGAGAAACCUUAUGAAUGUCUUGAAUGUGCAAAGGCCUUCAGUCAGAACUCACACCUUAUUAGUCACCAGAGAAUUCACACUGGAGAGAAACCCUUUGUAUGUAGCGACUGUGGGAAGGCCUUCCGUGGGCGCACAGCUUUUCUUAAACAUCAGAAACUUCAUACUGGAAAGGAACUUGGGGAAUGUGAGAGAGUCUUCAAACAGGACUUAUUCUAAUAGAUAAUGAAAAGAAAACUGAGAAGAAAGAAUGGAAGCUAAAUCAGGAAAUUUCUGAAGAAAUAGAAUCAGAACACUCAAUACAAAUACCUAAUGGAUUUAAACUCUUAGGACCCAGUGAAUGUGAGAACAGCUUGGAGAGGCAACGGGUAAAUUCAUCAGAGGCUGGACUGCUACAAUCCCCUUUUGAGGAUAGGGAGUUCAGCCAAGUGAGCCUUUCCCUUAAGAAAACCCUUAUAGUCUACAGCCAUGCCACCCUGAAUGUGCCCAAUCUCGUCUAAUCUCAGAAGCUAAGCAGAGUCGGGCCUGGUUAGUACUUGGAUGGGAAUAGCAGGUGCUGUAAGCAUAAAAAAAAAAAGAAAAAGAAAAAAAGAAAACCCUUAUAGGUGAAGGAAAACUCGAAUGUAAUAAGAAAGUGAGAAUUUGUAAUCUGAGCCCACUUGUUAUACAUCAGAGAGUUCCUGCAGAGGAAAGAACCGAUAGGUACAAGGCAUGUGGCCAGAGCUUCAGACAGAAGUCAGGACUACUCAGCAUGAGAAAACCUAUAUCAUAAAAAGAACCGAUAAGUGUAACGAAUGUGGAAAUAUUUUCAGUAGGAGUUCAUACCUAGAUAUACAUAAAAAAUUCACACAGGAAGGAAACCUUAUAUUUGUGGUGACUAUGGGAAAGAUUUCAGUCAGAGCUCCAGUCUCAUUCAACAUCGGUGAAUUUAUACAGCAGAAACUUCCUAUGAAUGUAAUAAGUGUGGAAAGAUUUUCAAGGGGAACUCAAACCUUAUCUUGCACCAGAGAAUCCAUAGUGGAGGGAAUCCAUAUAUAUGUAAUAAAUAUGAGAAGGCCUUCAAUCUAAGCUCAGAUCUUAUACAUCACAGAAUUCACAGUGGAGAGAAACCUUAUGAAUGUAAUGACUAUGGGAAAGCAUUUAGUCAGAACUCACAUUUUGUUACCCACCAGAGAAUUCAUACUGGGGAGAAACCCUAGGAAUGCAGUGACUGUGGGAAAGCCUUCAGGCAGAGUUCCUUAUUCAGCACUGAAGAAUCCAUAGUGGGGGAAAACUAUGAAUGCCCCAAAUGUGGGAAAACCUUCAGUGGGUACUCAGUUUUUCUUAAACAUAAAAGACUUCAUAUUGGAGAGAAACUUGAAUAUGAGAAAGCCUUCGGUUUAGAUACAAAACUUAAUGGACAGCAGAGAAUUCAUAAGGAAAAGAAACUUUAUGAAUGUAAUGAAUGCAGACAAAUCUUCCGAGGUAGCUCAGAUCUUAUGAGACAUCAAAUAAUUCGAACUAGAGAAAAACCUUAUGAAUGCAGUGAAUGUAGAAAGGCCUUCAGUAGGAACUCAGUCCUUAUAGAACAUCGAAGAAUCCAUACAGGGGAAAGGUUUUAUAAAUGCAGUGACUGUGGGAAAGCCUUUAGGGGGAGCUCACAACUCAUUCAGCAUCAAAGAAUUCACAGUGGAAAGAAACCUUAUGAAUGCAAUGAAAGUUGCAAGACUUUUAAUCAGAGCUCAGACCUUAGUCGGCAUCAUAGAAUUUAUAGUGGAGGAAAGCCCUAUGAAUGUAAUGAAUGCGGGAAAGCCUUCAAAUAGAGCUCAGACCUUGUUAGGCAUCAGAAAAUUCAUACUAGUGAGAAAAUUUAUGAAUGAGUGUGGAAAAGCUUUCAGUCAGAGCUCAGAUCUUACACAGUAUCAGAGAAACCACAGGAUCAUAACCCUAGGAACACAGCAAUGAUAAAUAUAUCCAUUUAUUUAUAUGUAUGUUUGUUUUUUAAAUACUGUUAUGUCUACCUUUAGCCAUUAUAACUAUUUGGAAAAUUCUAAGUUUCCAAAGAGCAAUUUUCAUUUGAUUCAGUUUAGAGUACUUAACCUCAGGUCAUGUAUAGAUAUGUCCUUCCUAAAUGUUUCCCAUGUGGUAAAUCAGAAAACUUGACAAGAUAAGCCUUUAAUUACACUUUCACUCCUUCCUUUAUCAUCAGAGAUUCCACGCCACAGGAAAAUCUCGCCAAUGGAGAAACUUGAAUAUAGAGCAUAUACAUCAUCACAAAAUGGUGCCUUUGCAUGUGCUAUUCAGCAGCACUACAAAUCUAAUUGCUUUUCCUUGUCUUUUUCUCUAUAAUAUAAACUGUACCAGGGGAAUGUAAGAUGAGUAUGAUAUCCUGAACUCUAGGGUAGAUGGUCCUUCCCGGGACAGAGUCUAAUCCAAACAUCUGCAAAUGAUCCUGAAGUUUUAAAUGAGAAUAAAUGUCACUGUAUAGAUUAGGGAGUUUGAGCUUGUUCCUUCAUUCCUAGCAAAAUUAAAUACAGAAGCAACUGAUUUAAUUAAGAAAAAUACAGAAGCAACUGAUUUAAUUAAGAAAAAGAAGUGGAUGGUGAAUCUUUAAAUACAGAAGCAGCUGAUUUGAUUAAGAAAAGGAAGUGGAUGGUGAGUCUUCUUUCAUGUAAAGGGAGAAGUUGUGACUCAUAGGAUUUGAAAGUAUAAUGGCACUUUGGAGUCUGACAUACUGAAAUCCUGGUUCUGUCUCUUUUAAUCUCUGUGAUCUUAGGCAAAAAUUUUUGUGUUUCUGAUUCUUGGUUUUCUCAUUUGCAAAUUCAACAUAAUGAUACCUCCCCUGUGGGGCUAUUGUGAAGAUUAAAGGAGACAAUUUUGUUAAGCACCUAGCAUAACUCUAGAUAUACAAAUGAUAGCUAUUUUUAGCAGUAGUUCCUGUGGGCAGUAAUUGUCUAAGGCAUUUUGAAGGAAAGGGGAAAACAUGUUCCACCUGCUAAAGCCUUCUGGAAGAUGUUAUGAGUCUACAUUUCUGAUCCUACUUGAAGUCAGAAGGGUCUUGGCCUAGUGUAAGUAAAUGCAGAGAUUGGGGAGACUGGGGAGGAAUUUGUACAAAUUUUCAAUGAUAUGUCUUUGUGUGUGUGUGUGUGUGGUAAGAACACUUAACAUAAGAUUUACCCCUCAACAAAAAUUUUAAGUGUAAUACAGUAUUCUUAACUAUGGGCACGAUGUCAUACAGCAGAUCUCUAGAAUUUAUUCAUUUUCCAUAACAAACUAUACCCAUCUAACAACUCCCUAUUUCACCCCACAGCCCUUGACAACACCAUUCUACUCUCUGCUUCUGCAAGUUUGACUAUUUAGAUACCAUAUAUAAAUGGAAGCAUGCAGUAUUUGUCUUUCUGUAGGAUGAUAUAUCUUAGAGAAACAAAUUUAGUAGUUAGUGGAAAAUGUUACUAUAGUACUACAGAGUUGAAUUAAGAUUUUUCUUGGAGAGGCUAGGAGUAAGCUGUUUUAUGAAAGUAUUCAGAGAUCAGAUCAAUAAAUACCCUGCAAAUAUGAUAAUGAGAGAACUUUAAUUCUUGCAGGUUGCUUAACUGGUUUUCAGAAAGUAAUAAUCAGAGAAUGAGGAAGUCUUAACUUUUUCAUAUCAGAAGGCAAAUUUUGGUGUGUUGGGAAAGGUUCUUUGGACCAUCUGAAUUAUUUCAAAGGAGCCAAGGUACACAAGAUCAAGGGAUUAUGAAGAUGGAGCCAAAAGAACAGUCCUAGGAAUAUAAGACCAAGCUACAUGGGAACUACUCUUUCAGUCGAGAGAUCUUCCACCAACACUUCAGGCAUCUCUGCUACCAGGAGGCCCCAGGAGGCCCUGAGCUGACUUCUGGUCCCCAGGAGGCUCUGAGCUGACUACAGGUACUCUACUGUGAGUGGCUGAGGCCUGAGAGGAACACCAAGGAACAGGUCCUGGAAUUACUGGUGCUGGAACAAUUCCUGAUCAUCCUGCCUAAGGAGCUCCAAUGCCGGAUGUGGGGACAUCGCCCUAAGAAUGGAGAAGAAGCUGUAGGACUAUGCUGGAGGAUUUAGAGAAAGGACUUGAUGAACCAAGACCACAGGUGGGAAGGGGAACAUGUGAUCUGUUGUGGGAGCCAGAUCAGUGACCUCCAGGCUGGACAGAGGGGCAGCAGUAAGGGGAGUUGCCAAGUUCAAACCUCUCUCUGGCCAGGUAGAGCAGUUUCUAUCUUUGUCUUUUCUGCCCUUAAACCCUGAAUGAGACUCUAGCUCUUCUUCUUUCCCCUGUUCUGACUCUGAGAAGGAUCUCUGAAGUCUCCUUGGAAGCUUUGGUCCCACAUAAACCAAACGGUGCCUAUCACCUUCAGGUCCCAGGUACUGCACAUGGACCUGCAUAAGAAGAGCCAUGGGAGGAGAAGGCAUCUCUGGGAGCAGCCCCAGGAGGCUCUGAGCAUCCAGUUCCAGCCUAAAGAGACUCAGCUCAAGUGUGAAUCUCAGGAGACCCAGCCUUGCCUAGAGAAUGAUGAUGAGCAGGAUUCCGUGGGGAAGGAGAGGAGGAGGAGGGAGUAUAAAGGACAUAUAGUAGGUACUCAAAAGUUGGCUAUUCUUACCUCUCAAGUAAAAGACUUAGCCUGUUUUAUCACCUGUAGAAUUAGGAAUAAUAAUAACCUACCUCAUAAGGUAGCUCUGAAGGUUAAAUAAAACGGAUAUAUCUGACUAUAAAAUUUCACCAGCAUCUCUUAGCUUUAGAAAACCCUAAAACAGGGCCAGAAAAUAUUUCAUUCACUUCCUGCCUCAUCUCCUCUGUUCUUGAUGCCUAACUCAAAAUACUUCUGCCCUACGCUAGAGGCUAGCCUUGAGAUUAUUUUUCUUUUAACUUUCUCAUGCCUCCCAAAACACUUUUUAAGCUAUAAAGCAACUCUCAUGUGAGAUACAUCUUUAUCUACCACUUAACCCCAUCUAAUGUCAGUAUUUACCUUCUAGCCUUCAAAUUUACAGCAAAAACUUCCUUCCCAGCCUGCAUACACUCUCAUGAGCAUCCUUUCCUCUCCCUGUAGCAAACUCUAGAUUUAGAGCCUCUGGACUGUAAACUGUUCUUGCUGACCCCUAACAUUGUGAACCAUAGGAAACAUAGCAUGAAUAUGUUGCUAAUCAAGAAGAUUCUAUUUAAUAUUUGGUAUUAUACCACAACCCACCACCAAACAAAAGCAUCUGAAAAAUCAAAUUCUUGUUAGCAACAAAAUGGGAAAAACUAGAAAUGGAGAUUGAUCUUAGAAUUUAUUUCAAAAGUAUGAUUUUACCUCCCAGCACAUCCUUGCUUUUCUUCUAGACUUUGUCUUGACACCUAUAUUCUGUUUAGUAAGUCUCUAUUAAUCAACUUAGUACUUUACUAUUAAAAAGCUAACUAAUUAUUGUUAGAUUUUUUUUUCAGCAAGCAUAUUGCACAUUUUUUUUAACCAGAAGCUUUUAACGUGGAAAAACUGUAUUUUUUUUAAUCAAGUGGUCUUGAGUUAUCAAAGCAUUGCUUUGAUCUCCUUUAAACUAUAGAGAGCUUUAUAGAUAAAACACAAAAAGUGUUACAGACAUUUAAAAACAAAGGGCGAUGCAUUCUUUUCUUCCUUUUUUUCCUUUCUCUUCAUUUUUUAAGGAACAAGUCAAAGGGAAAGGCAGAGAGUACCAGGGAGGUAGACACAGAACUGGCAGUUGUCCCUUCAAUAAAGGAGAGAGCUGACUGGGGAUCCUUUUCGGUGGCUGCAGAUUUAUGGAGCAGGAAGUCGGUGGGAAGAAGUAAAGGUUGCAGAAUUAGGAGAGUAGAGUCCACCUUUACGAACAUCCCUUUUCCCUAACCCUAUGAUUCUUUCUUACUUUUCCCUUUCCUCACAUCGGGUGAUCACUCCCCAAUUUCUUGAAAAUAUUACUUUCGCUCAUAUUUUUAAAGAGUAAGUCUUGAAAAGAAGAUCCUCCCCUGAAACUUAUUUUAUUUUUUAAAAACAUUUUGCAGUGUUCUGUUAAGGAAAAAUUAGAGAAAACAGACAAGCAGGGGGGAAAGGGAAAAGAAGAAAGCCUCUCCCCUGCUUACUCUCAUCACCAUGAGAUAACUAUUGUUCAUAUUUUAAGUAAAUAUCCUUUCAGACUU